AGCAACAUUACAGUUAUGAAGUAGCAACGAAAAUCAUUUUAUGGUUGGGUCACAACAUGAGGAACUGUAUUUAAAGGGCCAGAAGGUUGAGAACCACUGGCCCUAGGAUGAAUCUUUUUCUGUGUGCAGAUGUGUUCUGUGUAUUUUAGGACUCUGGGCCAACCCACUAAAUAGCAACAGCACCUCUAUUUGUGCGACAACUGAAACUGCUCCUGUAUUUCCAACACCUCUCGAAGGACAGGAUACCUGGACAUCCAUCAUCUGCUUCCAACCUGAGUUCCCUCCUCACCCAACCACACCCUUGGUUACAUUCUCCUGACUGCCAGCAAGCCCGGCUUCUUGCUGGGAAGUCAUUCCGGGAUAAUUUUAUUUGAAUCUACUAAUUUCUUUUCACUCAAAAUUGCGAAGAUAAAGAAACAUAAAAUAUGAGGCAAAGGGAAGAUGGUCUAAGAAUUUGUGUCUUCAGGUUUUUACUGGCAUAACAACCCUUUCAAGCCUGGAGCUACUCCAAACUGAAGGAUGAAAAUGAGAAGAAAAACGUAUUGCAAACAGGCCCGGUGGUACAUGUGCUCCAGCAGGAGCUGGUUGUAGCAAAUCCUUUCACUUCAAACCUGCAUGGAUAUGUUAGACCUUAUUUGGAAGUAAUUCAUUUCUGGUCAAUUCAACCCAACAUUAUGCCAACUUUUGCAUUUAUUGUAGACACUAUUUUAAGUACUAGAGAUUAAAUUUUCAUCACCAAAACAUGAAAAUAGCAGCUACUGCCCUAACCGGUUUGGCUCAGUGGAUAGAGCGUCAGCCUGUGUACUGAAGGGUCCCAGGUUCGAUUCC